AUAAUUUUCUAAUUAUAGAGUAAGCACAGGUAGUUACAAAUUUUAUAACAAAUUUGAGGAAAGUCCGGUCUCUUUUUAGGACAAUAUAGCUAUAUAGGAAAUAGUGUAGGUAACUAUGAGGACAGUGCCACAGAAAUAAACCGCCUACGCAUAGGUAAGGGUGCAAAGGUGUAGUAAAAGUCCACCAGUAAUAUUAUUAAAAUAUUAGCUAGGUAAACCCCGUAUUAAGAGUAAAGUGGUCUUUUAAUUUUUAUAUUCUAUAGUUAUUAAUUACAAUAAAUGAUAUUUUAAAUCUGCAGGAAGUAAAGUAAAGUCAUUGUUUUACUCUAGAUGAAUAACUACCCUUUAUGUAACUUUUAUUGUAAUGUAAAGAACAAAAUCCGGCUUAUGACUUACUCAUAA
rnacentral:RNase_P_RNA from 1 species